CUUGACCAUGGCCCCCGCCUUGGCCUUGCCUGACAUCUCUAAGCCCUUCCAGCUAUUCGUAUAUGAAAAAACAGGGAGUCGCUAAGGGGGUGCUUACCUAGACAUUGGGACCAUGGUCCCGGCCCGUUGCCUACCUUUCAAAAGAACUUGAUCCUGUAGCCUCUGGGUGGCCGGCUUGUUUGAGGUCAGUGGAAGCUGCAGCUCUUUUAGUCAAGGAGCUGGACAAGCUAACCUUGGGGCAGGAGUUAAACUUAGUGCACCUCAUGCAGUGGAGUCGCUACUCCGUAGAGCUCCGGGAAAAGGAUGUCUAAUGCUCGCAUAGUCCAAUACCAGGCCUUACUUUUGGACCAGCCCCACAUAAAAUUUUCAAAAACCACAGUUUUAAACCCCGCCACAUUGCUACCUGACAGCAAGCCAGAAGAGCCCAUACAUGACUGCCAACAGACAAUAGAUGUCCUCCACGCUGCAUGACUGAAUCACUCCGACAUCCCCCUGCAGAACCCAGAGAAGGUACUGUAUACAGACGACAGCAGUUUCAUGGUCGAAGGAGUCAGGUAUUUCAGCACAGCCAGGCAGGGGUGCACAUCAGCCGAAAAAAUGGCAAGAGUGUCUGUGCUGAGCUCUGGCACCACCAGAGGGCUCGCCAACCCACCUCUGACCAACUUCCCUCUGAGGUGCCAGAAGCAGCAAGGAGCUUCCACUUCCUCAGGGCAGCAUGAGGGUCAUGUCAACUGUUUUUCAUUGUGUUGCACAGCCAUCACCGAUUGCAGAACAUUUCCAUCACACAAAAAGGAAAAUUCUGUACCUGUUCGCAAUCACCUUCAA
rnacentral:lncRNA from 1 species